rnacentral:rRNA from 1 species
UACGUAGGGGGCUAGCGUUGUCCGGAUUUAUUGGGCGUAAAGAGCGUGUAGGCGGCCAGGUAGGUCUGCUGUGAAAACUCGAGGCUCAACCUCGAGAUGUCGGCGGAAACCAUCUGGCUAGAGUCCGGAAGAGGAGAGUGGAAUUCCUGGUGUAGCGGUGAAAUGCGCAGAUAUCUGCAGGAACACCCGUGGCGAAAGCGGCGCGCUGGACCACUACUGACGCUGAGGAACGAAAGCUAGGGGAGCAAACAGG